CCCCAGCUCAGUCAAGGAAUCUUCAUCUACUACAAAAUAAUCUGCCUUUAUAUAAGAGGGUUUAAAAACAACUCUCCCAAUUAAGAAAAUGUCUGAUAUGACUAAGCAGAAAUACAUUUAGAAUAUACAUAAAAUUAGAAAAUAAGAUUUUAUCCCAGAACUUCUUCCAAAAAAAGAACAGAGAUGUUUUAAAAUGGUUGAUCAUUUGUGUCACACCAAGCUCUCAAUCCAAAUCCUAUCCAUGAUUUUCUUUCUCACAAGUUUGGAAGAAAUAAUAAUAUUAUGUUAACAUCUUCAAUAAAUCAUUUUUAUAAUGUAAUCAUGCUUUUCAAAGAUUUCCCUAAAUAUAAUAAAAUCCUUUGUGUCUGGCUGCAUGGCUGGUUAAACAAUCUAUAGAAUGAAUAUUGAGGUUCUGAGAAUGUCCAAAGCUUCCUGGAGGAAAGAAAAUGAGUCUAGCAUGGUCUGAAUAUUUGUUGUAUCCUCUUAGAAUUCAUAUGUUGAAACCAAAUCUCCUUGUGGUGAUAUUAAGAGGUGAAGCCUUUGGGAGGUGAAUAGGUCAUAAAGACUGUGCCCUCAUGAAUGGGAUUAGUGCCCUUACAAAAGAGGCCGGAGGGAGAUUUUUCAGCCCUUUUUUGCCAUGUGAGGACACAGCAAGAAGGCAUCAUUUAUGAGGCAGAGAGCGAGACACCAAAUCUACCAGCACCUUGGUCUUAGACUUUAAAGCCUCCAGAACUGAUGUACACAGGCAACAAAGAAAGGAAAAUCAACAUCUCUGUUCCACUAAUAUAUCUUUACUUUCAAUAGUAUAUGUGGUAGAGAGACCAUUCUACCUUGUAAGUGGAUGAUAACAAGGAUCUGAGGAAUGUGGCCAAAGUCUCAAAUUUAUCCCCAUAUGUUCCUCGGUAAUAUCCCAAGCAAGAACAGCUCUGCCUCGCCCAUACAGUUUCUGUAAUAGAACUGUUACCUUAAAAUUAACCUAGCCUGUAAUUUUAGGGAAGAAAAUCAGUAACCUAAUUCUAUUCAGGAUAAAAUAAGUUAAUAAAACAAUUAGAACUCAAUGAGUUUCAGUGAUGACUAGAGAUAUUUAAUUAUUGAAAUACCAUGACUACAUCUAAUACUUCAUGGUUUGUUACAUUUUUGUUUAUCAUGUGCUCUGCAUGACCAGCCUAUGAGACUGGGAGGUCAAAGUUUACCACAGCUUACAAAUAAGGAAACUGAGGGUCAGAGAAUUUAAGCAAAUUGCUUAAGUUCAUCUGGGUAGCAACAAAAGAGAGGUAGAAGCCAAGCCUGUUAAUGAUGCUUUCAGCACUAUUUCUACCACUGGUGAAUCCAUUUCUUUAGAUUUAAUUUCACAAGAUACUUACUAGUAAACAACUUUUCAAAAAAGCACCUAUUAUGUGGUUUCACUAUGCUCAAAACAAUGCUUAAAUCCUUUACUGUUUCCUUAUCAAAACAUGGCCAGAGGUGGUGGCUCAUGCCUGUAAUCCAAUGCUUUUGGAGGCCAGGGCAGGAAGAUCACUCGAUGCCAGGACACCAUGGAAUACUAUGCAGCCAUAAAAAAUGAUGAGUUCAUG
rnacentral:lncRNA from 10 species